rnacentral:rRNA from 1 species
ACGUAGGUGGCAAGCGUUGUCCGGAAUUAUUGGGCGUAAAGCGCGCGCAGGCGGUCCUUUAAGUCUGAUGUGAAAGCCCACGGCUCAACCGUGGAGGGUCAUUGGAAACUGGGGGACUUGAGUGCAGAAGAGGAAAGUGGAAUUCCACGUGUAGCGGUGAAAUGCGUAGAGAUCGGGAGGAACAUCAGUUGCGAAGGCGGCUCUCUGGACCAGCACUGACACUGAGGCACGAAAGCGUGGGGAGCAAACAGGA